rnacentral:lncRNA from 1 species
CACUGGGUAAAUAAUUAUCUGGAGAUGGAUGGUAAAGGUACCUUGUGAUAGGUUUUUGUAUUUUUGUGCGUGAGAAAUUAUACAUUAGGUUAAUUUAAGUUCUAUUGUAUANNNNNNNNNNNNNNNNNNNNGUGAGAAAUUAUACAUUAGGUUAAUUUAAGUUCUAUUGUAUAUAGGAGGCUGAGCUCUAAUUGUUGGUAAGUGAAAUUAGUUUUUUUAAGUGAGGACAUAGAUUGAAUGUUUUCUAUGUUGAAGUAGGUCUUAGGGGUGAAGAUGUGCUUGGGAAGCAGGAGGUAUAGGUGUAGAUGGCAGGGAAUCCUGGGAUGCUAUAGAUUUGUGCUUAAGAUGCACUAGCAAAUGAAAUGACAAAUGAUGGAUGGGUACCAUAAAUGGAUGAGGAUCAAUGGUCCUUUAUACAUUAAAAGUGCUUUUUGCAUGAGAUUCACUUUUUGUUGUGAAGAAUAUGAUGUGUCCCAUGCUGUCUGAUGUCACCGAUGAGUUGAUUUAGUUACUUAAGUGGAUGGA